GACGAACGCUGGCGGCGUGCUUAACACAUGCAAGUCGAACGGACAGGCCCUGCUUUUGUGGGGUGCUCGAGUGGCGAACGGGUGAGUAACACGUGAGUAACCUGCCCUUGACUUUGGGAUAACUUCAGGAAACUGGGGCUAAUACCGGAUAGGAGCUCCUGCUGCUUGGUGGGGGUUGGAAAGUUUCGGCGGUUGGGGAUGGAAUCGCGGCUUAUCAGCUUGUUGGUGAGGUAGUGGCUUACCAAGGCUUUGACGGGUAGCCGGCCUGAGAGGGUGACCGGCCACAUUGGGACUGAGAUGCGGCCCAGACUCCUACGGGAGGCAGCAGUGGGGGAUAGUGCGCAAUGGGCGGAAGCCUGAUGCAGCAACGCCGCGUGCUGGAUGACGGCCGUCGGGUUGUAAACCGCGUGCGCCUGGGACGAAGCGUGAGUGACGGUAAUGGGUAAAGAAGCACCGGCUAACUACGUG
rnacentral:rRNA from 1 species